UGGCUCAGUGGUAGAGCACUUGCCUUGCAUGCAAGAGGCCCUGGGUUCGAUUCCUCAG
rnacentral:tRNA from 1 species